GAUCCUGGCUCAGAUUGAGACGCUGGCGGCAUGCCUUACACAUGCAAGUCGAACGGUAACGGGCCUUCGGGUGCCGACGAGUGGCGAACGGGUGAGUAACGCAUCGGAACGUGCCCAGUGGUGGGGGAUAGCCCGGCGAAAGCCGGAUUAAUACCGCAUACGACCUACGGGUGAAAGGGGGGGACCUUCGGGCCUCGCGCCAUUGGAGCGGCCGAUGUCAGAUUAGGUAGUUGGUGGGGUAAAGGCCUACCAAGCCUGCGAUCUGUAGCUGGUCUGAGAGGACGACCAGCCACACUGGGACUGAGACACGGCCCAGACUCCUACGGGAGGCAGCAGUGGGGAAUUUUGGACAAUGGGCGCAACCCUGAUCCAGCCAUGCCGCGUGCGGGAAGAAGGCCUUCGGGUUGUAAACCGCUUUUGUCAGGGAAGAAAUCUUCUGGGCUAAUACCUCGGGAGGAUGACGGUACCUGAAGAAUAAGCACCGGCUAACUACGUGCCAGCAGCCGCGGUAAUACGUAGGGUGCAAGCGUUAAUCGGAAUUACUG
rnacentral:rRNA from 1 species